AGAUUUUCUUUUUUUAACAAGAAAUUAUGGGAUUUCUGUCUCAGUAACCAUUACAUGUAUACAAUAUUUUGUUUAGCAUAUUUGAUACAGAUUUUUAUUGGGGGUUCAAAGAAAAAAAAAUGGCUGGGAUGGGGAAGGCACAGAGUUUAUUCUGUACAAAUCUACAAUACCUUAAAACAGAAAUGCUACACAUCCCAUUGCAAAAAUUAUACUAAAAAACAACUGUAGUUAUAGUAUUAAAAAGGCAAUUGAGAAAAGGGCAUAACAAAGUAAUUUACACUUAAAAUAUUGAUCAACAAUAAUUAGAAAAUAGUAUAUCAUGAAUAUGUUAUUAUUAUUCUUGCAACACAUUUUAGGAGAAAAUAAAUCUGUCUGUC
rnacentral:lncRNA from 1 species